ACAUACGACCAUACCCACUGGAGAACUCGGGAUCCCGUCCGCUCUCCCAUAGAUAAGCCAGUGAGGGCUGGAGUAGUAGUCGGGUCGGUGACGACCGGCGAAUGCCCGGUGUUGUAUGUG
rnacentral:rRNA from 1 species